UAAUUUUCUUUUUCUUAAGGUAACAACUACUUUGAAUCAAUACAGCUUGCUCAAAAAACAGUUUGAAAUGGCAUUUUCUCUCUGCUGGCUAAAAUCAUCAGUUAUGUUGCUCUUCCAUAAAUUUCAUUUGGUGUUUGACGUUCAUAUAAAAUAUCCAGGGAGUUAGGAUUUAGGCAUUACUUUACAUGCUAUCCGAAUCAUGAAUUUGUUAUACUAUCCCAAACAAUUGCAUUGGUUUAUGGCUGCUUGCCUAUUGUUGAAAUUAGAUCAAUUGUAAAAAUAUGAAUAUUGAGAUUCUACAUAAAGAGAAAUCUUUGGUCCUCGAUAUACGGCUGCUUGUACGUCGAUACAAAAGGACUACUAGAGAUGUUUGGUUUUGUCUGUAAAAAGCUCAUACCUUUAACAAGAAAUUCGGCCCUCUUUAAAUCUUUGUUACAUUGUUUUUAUUUCCUUCUCUUAGAUGAAAUUUCAUGGUUUACUUAAAACACAGCUAUGUAAUCUAGUAAGUAUUCGCACCACUUCGAAUACGAUAGCUAAUAUUGAAGAUGUUUACAAUUUAAGGGAGGAACGUGGUUUAAUCGUAUGCGUGUUUUACCACCAUUCUGGGGCAUUUUCUCCGUUGAAGUAUUGGUCUUGGCCAUAUAGUAAUGGCGACUCAACAAUAGAAUGACGAAGAUGUUUAGGAUCAUCCGGGUCAUAAUCUAACUGUGAUUCGCAGGUAGUGCUUGCUCCAUUCCAUGCCAUCAUGUCUGCAGUUGUCUGUCCUGGUACAGCUUUUAUAGCGAGUCCACGAGAUGUCAUUUCAUUUUGAAAUCUCUGGUACCAACCUGGAAGCGAAGGAAGAAUCCCAUUAAAAACAAUUAACUUCGACAUAAUCCUUCUAAUGUCAAUUGGAAGAAUACGGUACAGAGAUAGUAAAACGUUAGGAAGGGCUUGGUCUGCUAUGUCCGACCCUCCAGCAUCAGAACCCUCAAAGAGAGCCUCAAUGCCUGCAUUGGCGAUCCAAGAUGGAACUCUAAUUUUUUCAGCGUCAUUAAAGCUUGAGCCCCGUUCAGUUUUAUUUGUUUGACAAGUUGUUUCAGCUAAGGGUAAGAUAUCCGAAUACCGAAAGUAAGCUUCUUGAUCUGUUAAUUGAUAGAGCUCUUCAGUCGGUUUGCUUGGUACUCUUGAUUUUAAAAGAGACUUCAUUAAUGCUUCCGUUACGGCAAACUCCUCAUCUUCCAAUAGCUUUUGAGAAUUUUUCUUGUUGUUCAGUUUAAAACAGUCAGCCAUACGUUCCAAAACCGUACUUAAGCUUCUUUUUGAAGUUUUUGUAUAAUGCAUUAAGAUACAAAGGUCUAAAAUUACGAUGAACUUUGUUUCUUUCAUCCCGAUAUCCACAAUUAUUGCAUCUCUUGUUGAUGUGCUUAGGAUCGCUGUUAAUGGUGCACAUAUCCACAACGUGAUUGGAACGUUUAAAGUGUUGAAUAAUCCAUCACAAAGCUCUUUUUUCUGUUUCCUUGUAACAAAAAUGUCCAAUACUAAUACAACGCGUACUAUUUCAGCUAGACAGUUAAAUGUGUUCAAGCAGUAUCUUUGAAUUAUAGUUGUCACAAUGGAUAUAGGGACCCAGCUUUGUUUAUAAGGAACAAGAUCUACUUUCCAAGUUGGCUCUUUAUCGCUAGCAUUUCCGAUGUAAAUUCCAAAUUCGUCAAUUUGCACCACUACGGUGCUAAUAUCGCAAUUUUUUCGCAUCAAAAUAAUUACUCGGAAUUCAAUUUAGUAGCAGUGAUGUUAAAAAAACUCUUGUCGCUAUUUGUUUGGUUUGGCAAAAGAAAUGUAAGGGUUUGAUAUUUAUUCAAUAAUUGUACUUUGACAAUUUUUAAACAAAUUGUUUUACUGAAUAAAAAGUGGAUGGCUUUUUAUUUACAAAGAAUACAUGUAUUACGGAAAUGCACUCAAAACAUUCGUGUGUUUACAAAACAAGUACGGCUAAUCAAACGCAUUCCGUACACUUAAAUUAACUCAAACUUUAUAUGUAUAAACAAAAUAAUAUGAAUUAAAUACACAUUUACUUAUAAUGCAACUUACAAAGAAUAUGAUAAGAGAAAUACGAAUAAUUGCUAUGUUACGU